rnacentral:rRNA from 1 species
AAUGUAUAGCAAUAGCUACUUGCAUCAUUGUAAAUAUGAUGCAAGAUCGACUAUGUCGAAUAAAAUUCUAGGUAGAAUUAUGAUAAUGACAUUGUCUGCCUAUGUGUCUUGACCAAAUUACGUGCCAGCAGUCGCGGUAAUACGUAAAAGACUAGUGUUAUUCAUGUUUAAUCGGUUUAAAGGGUACCUAGACGGUAAAUCAAGCCUAAAAGGAAAUAAAUGAAGGGACUAAUUUACUAGAGUUACUUAUGAGGGGGUAUUAAAGUACUGCUGGUGUAGAGAUGAAAUUCUGUCAUACCUCUUUUCAAUAGAAAAAUAAUGGCACAGGUAUAGGCGAAAGCAUCCCCUUAUGUGAUAACUGACGUUGAGGGACGAAGGCUUUGUGUAGCGAACAGGAUUAGAUACCCCAGUAGUCAAAGCAGAAAAUGAUGAAUGUCAUAGAUUAGAUAUAUAAGUUUAUUCUAUAAAUGAAAGUGUAAGCAUUCCACCUCAAGAGUAAUUUGGCAACAUUGGAACUGAAAUCAUUAGACCGUUUCUGAAACCAGUAGUGAAGUAUGUUGUUUAAUUUGAUGAUCCGCAAAAAACCUUACCACAAUUUGAAUAUUUAUAUCUUUUAUUGUUUUUCUUUUUAACUUUCUUCUUAUUUUCUACUUAAAAGAAAACAAUUACAAGAAAAAAGAGGCAAUAAGAUAUAUUUACAAGCGUUGCACGGCUGUCUUCAGUUAAUGUCGCGAGACUAUGGUUAGUUCCAUUAAAUUAACGUAAACCCUUACUUUAUUUUUAUAUAGAGUAGUUCCCCGCUAUAUUGGAUAUGAUAACAGG